AUGAGGUCGGGGAGGCCCGCCCCCGUGGCGGCGGGUGUCGUAUCGAGUCCAUUCGGGCUUUGAGCCGGCAUUCGUCCGUUAUUCUCAACCCCAUGUUUACUAUACCUUUGUUGCUUUGGCGGGCCUUGAGUAGGCUAUACGGCUCAUGCUGGCCCCAGGCUUCAUUGCCUGGGGGCGGCUCGCGCCCGCCAGAGGUUUUAUUCAAAUCCUAAUUAUCAGUGAUGUCUGAGCAAAUAUCAAAUAAUCAAAACUUUCAACAACGGAUCUCUUGGUUCUGGCAUCGAUGAAGAACGCAGCGAAAUGCGAUAAGUAAUGUGAAUUGCAGAAUUUAGUGAAUCAUCGAAUCUUUGAACGCACAUUGCGCCCCUCGGUAUUCCGGGGGGCAUGCCUGUUCGAGCGUCAUUACACCCCUCAAGCGUAGCUUGGUAUUGGACUUUCGCGGGCCCUUUUACCAGGGCUCGCGGGUUCGAAAAGCAGUGGCGGUCCCCGAGGAUUUCGCGCGUAGUAAAUUUUAUCCCGCGUUGGAAAGAAUCGAUGGGUCUUGCCAAAACCCCCUAAUCUCCAUAAAUUGACCUCGGAUCAGGUAGGGAUACCCGCUGAACUUAAGCAUAUCAAUAAGGCGGAGGAA
rnacentral:rRNA from 1 species